rnacentral:rRNA from 1 species
GUGGGGAAUUUUGGACAAUGGGCGCAAGCCUGAUCCAGCAAUGCCGCGUGCAGGAAGAAGGCCUUCGGGUUGUAAACUGCUUUUGUACGGAACGAAACGGUCCUGGUUAAUACCUGGGGCUAAUGACGGUACCGUAAGAAUAAGCACCGGCUAACUACGUGCCAGCAGCCGCGGUAAUACGUAGGGUGCAAGCGUUAAUCGGAAUUACUGGGCGUAAAGCGUGCGCAGGCGGUUUUGUAAGACAGGCGUGAAAUCCCCGGGCUCAACCUGGGAAUUGCGCUUGUGACUGCAAGGCUGGAGUGCGGCGGAGGGGGAUGGAAUUCCGCGUGUAGCAGUGAAAUGCGUACAUAUGCGGAGGAACACCGAUGGCGAAGGCAAUCCCCUGGGCCUGCACUGACGCUCAUGCACCAAAGCGUGGGGAGCAAACAGGAUUAGAUACCCGUGUAGUCC